rnacentral:lncRNA from 1 species
UCUGUGUGAACCGGUUCCGUUUAGUGCAUAAACUUUGAGAAGAAAAAACUUGGAGCUUCGACACAAGUGAGACGGCGAAGUCUCCUCCGGUUUCUGCGAUUCUCCGUCCACUUCGUCCUCGAAAUUGUAGAAACUGUACUUAGGGAUGGCAAGAACUAAACCUAAUCGACAGGGUUAGAUGUGAUUUUGUUUAUCAUCUGCACUGUUCUUUUUAUUUUUGUGAGAUUCGUUUUCGGUGUUCUUGAUAACACUUUUCGAUGUGUUCUUAUAGUUGUGAUAAAAUGAAUUAAUGUAUAUUGGGUACUAAACUUUUUUGGUUGUACUGUUUUUUUGUUUUCAGAUCCGGUAGUAGCAAUAUGCAUCGGUAGGCUUAUACUUUAUAAAGUAUAUUAUUUUUCAACGUUGAGUGCUCGUUGACCAACGAUUUGCACGUGUGUUUGUUAUGCCAGCAAUUUGUCAUUUUUAGCACAUGUGUGAUUGCUGGAUUUUGUUGGUUUUGCAUAGAAAUAUUUUGUUAAUCGACAAUUUGGUUUAAAAAAAUUAAAGCUUAUUCGAAAUCAUUUGUUUAAGAUCUUUUAAUAAUUGGCGAUUCAUAACUUACUGGAAUUCAUUUGUUUGAGAUAUUUGAUUUAUCGACGAUUCAUUUGCUUAUUGGAAUUCAUUUGUUUGAGAUCCUUGAGUAUUUUUCUAUUUUUGAAAUAUGGUUGGCGUUCAUACGUAUACAGGGAAUGGUAAAGAUAAGGAAAAGGGG